GCUGCAGCCGCUGGCCCGAAAAUGCUGCUCGGGCGAGCAGGGGUCAGGCGGGAAAAGAAGACUCCAAAUCCACUCUCUGCUCGCCCCCAGGGCAAUGCUGCGAGGAGAGGGAGUGGGUUCCCCCGCAGGCUAUCCCACCGAUGGGGCUGAGAGCUUAAUUUGGGGUUUUAUUUGAAUUGGAGACAUUGUUCCCUCUUCGCUCCUCUACCCCAUAAAAUUCCCUACAAAUGCAAAAAUUCGAGAUAGAAGAAGCCGUCCCUGAAAGUAAGUUCUGAAGGAUUCCUUUCAUGCGGUGAAAGAACAACAACAAUAUUCAACUUCACCUUGUUGCUGUCUAACAUUCACCGGAAACCUCUCCAUAAACAAGGAGAAACGAACGCACACGCAUUUUUGCUAAGAAGCCCGGGAUUAAGAUUAAGGAUAGAAGCUGAAAGAAAAAUUGAAAAAUGCUUCUCCGCGCGUCAAUCGAGGGGUGGAUGCGCCAAGCAGCGUGAGCCCAGCUCACAGCCACGCGUAAGACCAAGAGCUGCCCUGGGUCCUGCGCGCGGAGACCUCAGAGCCGAAGAGAGAAGUCCCCGCGACAGAAACGCUGCGGAUGCCAGGUCUUGAAAAUGCUAACUUCUGAGGCUAAGAAUUAUUUCAGAGACAAAAAGAAAAGACUGGUGAGGAGGCCUUCCGGUGCAAGGGCGCCCAUCCGCUAAUUUUGGGUGGGGAAGUGGGGAUUAUUCGUUUAAAUUCAAUCGCCAGCACCAAGUCGGACUGGCCGGGGAUGGAGAAGGGCAACCCCCACCUUUAGAAAAAUAAAAGAUCUCGAAGGCC
rnacentral:lncRNA from 1 species